rnacentral:rRNA from 1 species
CCUACGGGAGGCUGCAGUGGGGAAUAUUGGGCAAUGGGCGCAAGCCUGACCCAGCAACGCCGCGUGAAGGAAGAAGGCUUUCGGGUUGUAAACUUCUUUUGUCAGGGACGAAGCAAGUGACGGUACCUGACGAAUAAGCCACGGCUAACUACGUGCCAGCAGCCGCGGUAAUACGUAGGAGGCAAGCGUUAUCCGGAUUUAUUGGGUGUAAAGGGCGUGUAGGCGGGAAUGCAAGUCAGAUGUGAAAACUAUGGGCUCAACCCAUAGCCUGCAUUUGAAACUGUAUUUCUUGAGUUCUGGUGAGGCAAUCGGAAUUCCGUGUGUAGCGGUGAAAUGCGGAGAUAUACGGAGGAACACCAGUGGCGAAGGCGGAUUGCUGAACAGUAACUGACGCUGAGGCGCGAAAGCGUGGGGAGCAAACAGGAUUAGAUACCCGUGUAGUC